CUGGAAAGCUUGGCGAUACAGGGUGAUAGCCCCGUAACCGACGCUUCAUCGAGCGUGAAAUCGAGUAGGGCGGGACACGUGAUAUCCUGUCUGAAUAUGGGGGGACCAUCCUCCAAGGCUAAAUACUCCUGACUGACCGAUAGUGAACCAGUACCGUGAGGGAAAGGCGAAAAGAACCCCUGUGAGGGGAGUGAAAUAGAACCUGAAACCGUGUACGUACAAGCAGUAGGAGCACCUUCGUGGUGUGACUGCGUACCUUUUGUAUAAUGGGUCAGCGACUUAUAUUCAGUGGCAAGGUUAACCGUAUAGGGGAGCCGUAGCGAAAGCGAGUCUUAACUGGGCGCUCAGUCUCUGGAUAUAGACCCGAAACCGGGUGAUCUAGCCAUGGGCAGGUUGAAGGUUGAGUAACAUCAACUGGAGGACCGAACCGACUAAUGUUGAAAAAUUAGCGGAUGACUUGUGGCUAGGGGUGAAAGGCCAAUCAAACUCGGAGAUAGCUGGUUCUCCCCGAAAGCUAUUUAGGUAGCGCCUCGGACGAAUACUACUGGGGGUAGAGCACUGUUAAGGCUAGGGGGUCAUCCCGACUUACCAACCCUUUGCAAACUCCGAAUACCAGUAAGUACUAUCCGGGAGACACACGGCGGGUGCUAACGUCCGUCGUGGAGAGGGAAACAACCCAGACCGCCAGCUAAGGUCCCAAAGUAUUGCUAAGUGGGAAACGAUGUGGGAAGGCUCAGACAGCUAGGAUGUUGGCUUAGAAGCAGCCAUCAUUUAAAGAAAGCGUAAUAGCUCACUAGUCGAGUCGGCCUGCGCGGAAGAUGUAACGGGGCUAAGCAAUACACCGAAGCUGCGGCAAUAUCUUUUAGAUAUUGGGUAGGGGAGCGUUCUGUAAGCCGUUGAAGGUGAAUCGUAAGGUUUGCUGGAGGUAUCAGAAGUGCGAAUGCUGACAUGAGUAACGACAAAGGGGGUGAAAAACCUCCUCGCCGGAAGACCAAGGGUUCCUGUCCAACGUUAAUCGGGGCAGGGUGAGUCGACCCCUAAGGUGAGGCCGAAAGGCGUAAUCGAUGGGAAACGGGUUAAUAUUCCCGUACUUCUGACUAUUGCGAUGGGGGGACGGAGAAGGCUAGGUGGGCCAGGCGACGGUUGUCCUGGUUCAAGUGCGUAGGCUUGAGAGUUAGGUAAAUCCGGCUCUCUUUAAGGCUGAGACACGACGUCGAGCUGCUACGGCAGUGAAGUCAUUGAUGCCAUGCUUCCAGGAAAAGCCUCUAAGCUUCAGAUAGUCAGGAAUCGUACCCCAAACCGACACAGGUGGUCGGGUAGAGAAUACCAAGGCGCUUGAGAGAACUCGGGUGAAGGAACUAGGCAAAAUGGUACCGUAACUUCGGGAGAAGGUACGCUCUUGAUGGUGAAGUCCCUCGCGGAUGGAGCUGACGAGAGUCGCAGAUACCAGGUGGCUGCAACUGUUUAUUAAAAACACAGCACUGUGCAAAAUCGCAAGAUGACGUAUACGGUGUGACGCCUGCCCGGUGCCGGAAGGUUAAUUGAUGGGGUUAGCGCAAGCGAAGCUCUUGAUCGAAGCCCCGGUAAACGGCGGCCGUAACUAUAACGGUCCUAAGGUAGCGAAAUUCCUUGUCGGGUAAGUUCCGACCUGCACGAAUGGCGUAAUGAUGGCCACGCUGUCUCCACCCGAGACUCAGUGAAAUUGAAAUCGCUGUGAAGAUGCAGUGUACCCGCGGCUAGACGGAAAGACCCCGUGAACCUUUACUACAGCUUGGCACUGAACAUUGAACCUACAUGUGUAGGAUAGGUGGGAGGCUAUGAAGACGUGACGCCAGUUGCGUUGGAGCCGUCCUUGAAAUACCACCC
rnacentral:rRNA from 1 species